UCCUUUCCUUAUCCCCGAACUCUUAUUCGGUCUCCGGUAUCCCCCCGUGAUUAGCGUUGAUGAAAGAGGAAAUCGCUGAGGAUUAUAAUUGGGGCGGAUCGUUAGCGUAGAGGAGGCGGAGAAGUUAGUUUCGGAGAAGCGGAGGCACCCUAAUUCCACCGCCUUUUUUCCUUUGCUUCUCCGAUUCUUCUUCAUCGUGGUCCCGAUCGCGCCGGGGUUUCGGAGUCGUUGACCUCGUAUGGGAAUCGGUGAGAUCGUCGUCGAUCCAUGGGAUUGAUCGAUCGCUUCUAGAGUUUUUAAUCUCAUCGUUACCAGUUCGAUCUUUGUGGAUCCCAAGAUCUCCUCCCCUGUUGAUGUAUCUUCUCCUCCCCGGGGCCGAUUCGGAUGCGAAGGAACCCUACCAGUUUCUUGGCAUUCGCCCCCCGCCUCCGCGCUCCUUCCUUGGGAAAGACUUCUUCUUUUGCCUCCCCAGAGAUCGAUGGGAUAAGGAGUUCGCCAAAUUGCAAGCGGGGUAACUAGACAUCUACGUUCCCUCCGCUUUUAGUUACAUAUAUAGCGCUAUUUAGGUUCUGGUUCCGUUUGGAUUGGGAAUAUGGAUUCUUCCCAAGGAUCGACGAUGACAUCCGCAGCGGCGGCUGCGAAGGUGGAUGUAUCUGUGGUGGAUUUGUUGCCGGUUUAUGUUAAGGAGUUGAUCGCCGGUGGAGCCGCUGGGGCGUUCUCGAAGACUGCAGUAGCACCCCUUGAGCGCAUCAAGAUAAUAUUGCAGACAAGAACCGAAGGGUUUAAAUCUCUUGGGAUUUUACAAUCUUUGAGGAAGUUGUGGCAACAUGAGGGCUUCUUCGGAUUCUAUAAAGGAAAUGGUGCUAGUGUGCUCCGAAUUGUACCUUAUGCAGCACUACACUUCAUGACAUAUGAGCAGUAUCGUUGUUGGAUUCUGAAUAAUCAUUCUUCAUUUAUCUCGGGACCAUUUGUUGAUCUUCUAGCUGGUUCAGCUGCUGGUGGGACUGCUGUUUUGUGUACCUAUCCAUUAGAUUUAGCUCGGACUAAGCUGGCUUAUCAGGUAAACAGUCCAGGGAGAUUGAGUAGUGGUCUAAGAAUGUUUAGUCCUCAGCCUGCUUAUACUGGUAUUGGAGAUGUGUUUAAGAAGGUCUACAUGGAAGGUGGGAUACGUUCUCUAUAUCGAGGAGUAGGUCCUACGCUUAUUGGUAUCCUUCCUUAUGCUGGUCUGAAAUUUUAUAUAUAUGAAGAUCUCAAGGCUCGGGUACCUGAAGAAUACCAAAAGUCUGUAGUUCUACGCCUCUCAUGUGGGGCUUUAGCUGGUUUAUUUGGGCAGACUCUCACUUAUCCACUAGAUGUGGUCAGGAGACAGAUGCAGGUUCAAAAUCAGCAAUCGCUAAAUCACCCAGGUGCUCCACUCAUCAGGGGAACAGUCCAAGGGCUUUCAUUCAUCCUCCAUACUCAGGGAUGGAGGCAACUAUUUGCUGGUCUGAGCCUCAACUAUGUCAAGAUGGUCAAUUUUGAAGUCGUCCUUAUAUAAGGGGACAAAAAAUUAUGACUCACCAGAACUUCCUGUGAUCAAGAACUAUUGCCUUCUGUAAGGACUGAUCUGGUGUUUUUGGAUGGAGAUCUGGUUGUUCCUUCGGUAGCCAUAGGGUUUACAGCAUAUGACAUGAUGAAGACUUUGCUAAGAGUUCCACCUCGAGCAAAAUCUUCGGCUCCUUCGGCUGCAUAAAGGAUUUGUAUCCAAUAUUGAUGCUCUAUUCUCUCACUUAAACAAUGGAACCAUGGCAUGAUAUGAUUCGCUUAAUCAUUCGGAGAACCUUUAGCAACUAUGCAUUUGAGUUUCUCUCGGGAUAAAAAAAUAUGCAUGUUAAAGUAUAUGUCUACCACUUACAGAUGGCAUAUAUGAAUAUGUGACAGCGUCAGCUAAACAAUUGUAUUCAUAUUUGCUUUAAUAUGUAUUCACAACUAUCAUGGAAAUAUUGAAUACAGAACGAACUUAAUUGA